rnacentral:rRNA from 1 species
ACGGCCACACCUAGGCGAAAACACCAGUUCCCGUCCGAUCACUGCAGUUGAGUGAAAACGUCUGAUGGCCUCGUUUGUACUAUGGUUGGAGACAACAUGGGAAUCCGGGGUGCUGUAGGAU